UUGACUCUCAAAUGAGAAUUGUUAUGAUUAUCACAACUGGUCGCGAGAUCAGCCGAUAACUGAAAGACCAUUGGUUCGGACUCUCAGAUUAUCUCCUCAUCAGGCUAAUCACGGUUAUUUGACCCGGCUCUUGCCGGGUCUUUUUUUG
rnacentral:sRNA from 7 species